CAUUAAGUGUCUGAAACAAAAUAAGAAUUGGUCUUUUAAACCAAAUAUAGUAAAUAUAUUAAACUCUUAAUGA
rnacentral:tRNA from 1 species